GGCAGUGUGCAGUAGCGUAGUGGCAAUCGGGAGAGUCGGGACUUUUCCCGGUGGGCCGGUAUUGUUUUGAGGCCGUGAGGGCCGGUCGGUCUGAUAAUAGUUAUACUAGUGUCUGAUAUUAUAUUAUUAGCAAUACCAUCUGGCGGCAGGCGGCCUGAUGUGCGGCCGCUUCCGCCGGUCAAACUGUCACUGUGCAACCUCUCUGUCUCCGCUCAACACUGUGUGCACUGCGAAGCUCAACCCGUUCGGCAGGUCCAACCAUGUUGGACCUGGAUUUUCAAAAACAUAGGGGGGUCAGAGCGCGGCGGCCCCUCCCUAAAUGGUAUAGCCUGUCGGCCAGCCUGUGAUGUAAAAAGUCACCGAACACCUCUUUUCCCGCUUCAUGUUUUGAAAGUUUAACGGACGGUCGGUGUGAGUGAGUAACUUAGUACUACUGUACUGAGUAAUGAUGGAAGAAAGGCAAAAAAGAAAACUGAAAGGUGGCGCUGAGAAGGUCAGACUCAAAAGAAAAAAAAUGAUGGAGGAGGAGGCAUGGAAAUGCUCCAAAAUUACAGACAUGUUCCGGGCAACAACGAGCAAAUACACUACAGGUGAAAUAAACUGAGUCUGAAGCACUUGUUGUGGGCGGAGUUCGGGCUGGCAACCAGGCUAGUGCUGCGCCAGACUAAUCUCAAAUAUUGUAAAGAUUCCUUGUAAGGUUUCAUUUUUUUAAAUGAACAACACUACACCUGAGAGAAAGUUUAACAUUUGGAAUACAGCCUCUUUUUGACUGCAUUUAUUCAUGAAACAUGACACUCCAUUUGUAGUCAGAUUGUGCUUGAAGGAGAUCAUUCACUGUAGGCAGGGCAGCAUAUUGGGCCAUGUUGGUCAAUCCUGAUGCUACACAACAGCUCAUACCACUGCGUAAAUUGGCCAUUUCAUCUGCAACAAACCUGUAUAGAAAACAGAUGCAAGGAAUGCAAUGGAAUAUAGCCUGCAUUAGACUUAGAUAUCUAAUGCAGUGUGAAAUGAUCUGUGAGAUUUAGUAUUUGAGGAAGUUACCAUUCAUCUGUCGUCUUAUCAUAGCACUCCACAUCACAGGUGGUGCUUAUUCCAUUAAACCCUCCGACAGCAAACAACCGACCAUUAACUACCUGGAUUUUGAGGACGUUAAAAAGGAAAAUACCAUAGACUGUAAAAAAAUAUGGACGUAGUAUCCGUGACGUCACCCGUAGGUUUCUGAAGACCGUUUUUGAUGCCUAAAGUGGGCGUAGCCGACCGUCGCCAUCUUGGCAUUGCGUCACUCCCGGAAAAUCGGAAAUGGUCAACUAGGCGGGACGUGGGUGGAGCCGCGGAACCUGUUGCUGAAAACAUGCCCACCUAGCUCGACGCUAUCAAGUUGUCUUUGAAUCCUUUGAAUGGAAGAUAUUGGCGGUUGGAUUUUGAACCGAAUCAAACCAAGCUUACAAUUUGAGUGAUCGAUUUUGAGGUGAUGGCCACCCGCGACAAAUGCACCACGUGUGCACAUAGCUUAAACUACACAGUGUGGAUCAUUGGUGACAGCUAUGUCAGACGUGGUGCCCAGAGAGCUGCAGAGACCAUGGGAAGCAACCUCAGUCUGCCAGGCGUCCGUGUCUGUUGGUUUGGUUGUGGUGGGCUGCGGUGGAAAUGACUUCUUCUGUUCUUCUCCCACUCCCUGUGAGGAAGAGCAGCACCGGAUGUCCUCCUCAUCCACUGUGGCGGCAAUGACCUGGGGGUGGUCAGCAGCGUCCAGCUGGUGAACACCAUGAAGGAGGACCUGCACCAGCUUAAACUCCGGCACCCUGGCAUGAAGAUCAUGUUUUCAGCUGUGACCCAGAGGUGCCGGUGGAAGGCCGGUGCCAAUCCAGUUAAAAUUGACAAGGCGAGAAAGUUUGUUAACAGUGUUAUGGCUACAUUUGUUCGUAGUUUAAAUAGUGCCAUGAUUGAGCACCCUUGCAUUAGACAUGACAGUCCUGGGCUAUUUUUGAAAGAUGGAGUUCAUUUCACACCUAGGGGAAAUGAUAUGUUUUUAAGUACAUUAGCUAACUGCCUUAAAGGCCACAUUCAAAUGCAGUAAACUCCGUACAGUUGGCAGUGUUACUGCUUUUGAAUUUUGCCUUUAUGGACAUUUUUGUAAGGCUCAAAUAUAGCCCUGACCAUCAUGUCUAAUUUUGAGGUUUUUAUGUUAAUUUAGAAACACCUGUAGCCAUAA